AUUGAACGCUGGCGGCAGGCCUAACACAUGCAAGUCGAACGGUAACAGGAAGCAGCUUGCUGCUUUGCUGACGCGUGGCGGACGGGUGAGUAAUGUCUGGGAAACUGCCUGAUGGAGGGGGAUAACUACUGGAAACGGUAGCUAAUACCGCAUAACGUCGCAAGACCAAAGAGGGGGACCUUCGGGCCUCUUGCCAUCGGAUGUGCCCAGAUGGGAUUAGCUUGUUGGUGGGGUAACGGCUCACCAAGGCGACGAUCCCUAGCUGGUCUGAGAGGAUGACCAGCCACACUGGAACUGAGACACGGUCCAGACUCCUACGGGAGGCAGCAGUGGGGAAUAUUGCACAAUGGGCGCAAGCCUGAUGCAGCCAUGCCGCGUGUAUGAAGAAGGCCUUCGGGUUGUAAAGUACUUUCAGCGGGGAGGAAGGGAGUAAAGUUAAUACCUUUACUCAUUGACGUUACCCGCAGAAGAAGCACCGGCUAACUCCGUG
rnacentral:rRNA from 1 species